rnacentral:rRNA from 1 species
GACGAACGCUGGCGGCGUGCUUAACACAUGCAAGUCGAACGGAAAGGCCCUGCUUUUGUGGGGUGCUCGAGUGGCGAACGUGUGAGUAACACGUGAGUAACCUGCCCUUGACUUUGUGAUAACUUCAUGAAACUGUUGCUAAUACCGGAUAGGAGCUCCUGCUGCAUGUUGGUGGUUGGAAUGUUUCGUCGGUUGGGGAUUGACUCGCGGGUUAUCAGCUUGUUGGUGGGGUAGUGGCUUACCAAGGCUUUGACGGGUAGCCGGCCUGAGAGGUUGACAGGCCAAAUUGGGACUGAGAUACGGCCAAGACUCCUACGGGAGGCAGCAGUGGGGAAUAGUGAACAAUGGGCGGAAGCCUGAUGCAGCAACGCAGCGUGCGGGAUGACGGCCUUCGGGUUGUAAACCGCUUUCGCCUGUGAAGAAGAGUGAGUGACGGUAAUGGGUAAAGAAGCACCGGCUAACUACGUG